AUGGAAGACUACUUCACGGAGGUACCUACAUACCCUCCUCGUCUCUUCCGCAGAAGGUAUCGAAUGCGGCGUAGUUUGUUUGUGAAGAUUGUCACCGAUUGUGAGGCCGCCUCCUAUUACUUUAAACGUCGUAGAUCCGCCGCCGGUAUCAUGGGGUUUAGUGCAUAUCAAAAGAUAUCGGCGGCAAUGUGGGUACUCGCUUAUGGCAUACCCGCGGAUUAUACCGAUGAGUAUCUUCGCAUUGGGCAAGAUACAACUACGGAGUCAGUCCGUAGGUUUGCCAAGUUGGUCAUCCGGUUGUACGGUGAGCAGUAUCUUCGGGCACCAAACGAGGAAGAUACAAAGAGAUUAAUGGAAAUGAAUGAAAAAAGGGGAUGGCCGGGGAUGCUUGGUAGUCUUGAUUGCAUGCAUUGGAGGUGGAAAAAUUGCCCAAAGGCAUGGCACGGAAUGUAUUGCGGUAAAAGCCGUGAUGCUACCAUUGUGCUUGAGGCCGUAGCAUCUCAGGACACAUGGAUUUGGCAUGCAUUCUUUGGGUUGUCGGGAACACUCAAUGAUAUCAAUAUCCUCAAUAGAUCUCCUUUGUUCAGAAGAUUAAUUUCUGGGGAUGCUCCAGCUUGCAACUACAAAAUCAUGGACAAUGAGUACUCAAUGGGAUACUAUCUCACCGAUGGCAUCUAUCCCGAAUGGGCAACUCUUGUGAAGUCCAUCAAGGAGAAAAAUGGGGUGCCCUUAACAAGAAAAGAGGCUCAUUUCACCAAGGCACAAGAGGCAGCCCGCAAGGAUAUUGAGAGAGCUUUCGGUGUUUUGCAAGCAAGGUUUGCCAUAGUUCGUGGUCCAGCUCGGUUUUGGGACAAAAAAAGCUUGGUGAACAUCAUGAAAUGUUGUGUGAUUCUACACAACAUGAUCCUAGAGGAUGAGAGAGGGUUAAACCUCCCUUGUUUCUAUGACAAUGUUGGUACCCGUGUGCAACCGGAAAGAAACCCUUCUCGCAUACACGCUUUUCUUCAAGCACAUUGUGAGAUUGAGGAUGCAACCACUCAUGGUCGGCUCCGGGAUGAUCUAGUAGAGCACCACUGGCAGUUGGAUGGGCGGCGCAUUGGCCCAUGA
rnacentral:rRNA from 1 species